rnacentral:rRNA from 1 species
AUUGAACGCUGGCGGCAGGCCUAACACAUGCAAGUCGAGCGGAUGAAGGGAGCUUGCUCCUGGAUUCAGCGGCGGACGGGUGAGUAAUGCCUAGGAAUCUGCCUGGUAGUGGGGGAUAACGUCCGGAAACGGGCGCUAAUACCGCAUACGUCCUGAGGGAGAAAGUGGGGGAUCUUCGGACCUCACGCUAUCAGAUGAGCCUAGGUCGGAUUAGCUAGUUGGUGGGGUAAAGGCCUACCAAGGCGACGAUCCGUAACUGGUCUGAGAGGAUGAUCAGUCACACUGGAACUGAGACACGGUCCAGACUCCUACGGGAGGCAGCAGUGGGGAAUAUUGGACAAUGGGCGAAAGCCUGAUCCAGGCAUGGCGCGUGUGUGAAGAAGGUCUUCGGAUUGUAAAGCACUUUAAGUUGGGAGGAAGGGCAGUAAGUUAAUACCUUGCUGUUUUGACGUGACCAACAGAAUAAGCACCGGCUAACUUCGU